rnacentral:rRNA from 1 species
GACGUAGGGCGCAAGCGUUGUCCGGAUUUAUUGGGCGUAAAGAGCUCGUAGGCGGCUCGUUGCGUCGGCUGUGAAAACCCGCAGCUCAACUGUGGGCUUGCAGCCGAUACGGGCAUCACUAGAGUUCGGCAGGGGAGACUGGAAUUCCUGGUGUAGCGGUGAAAUGCGUAGAUAUCUGGAGGAACACCGGUGGCGAAGGCGGCGUUCUGGACUGUAACUGACACUGAGGAACGAAAGCCAGGGGAGCAAACGGG